rnacentral:lncRNA from 1 species
AAUGACAAGUCACAAAACAAAUAUUGAACUGGAUUAGGCAGUAGGCAACAGCACUCAUUAUUAUCGAAUACGGUAACAUUCAGCUCGCGUAGCUGUCACUGACACGUGUUUCUUCUGCCCGUGUGCACUGUGUACUCUGGACCAUCACAACUCAAUCAAUUUCCAUUGCUCUUUUAAGAAUAAAAUAAAAUAAAAAUAUUUUUUGCUCCAUUAAUUUUUUUUCCCUAAAUAUUUGGGUCCUAG